UUUAUAUCCCAGCAGAAGGCUUUAUGUUGUUUCCCAUUGAUUCUCCUACAUGCAGUGAGGUCUUUAACUGAGUCCAUUUGACCUGCUUUCUAGGAGAUGGAUUUUUCUCUAAUUUUUUUUCUGUAUUUAGAUUUUCUUUACUAUUUUUUGUCCAUUUGAUGCAAACUUCUUCAGCUGUGUAGAAACUUUAUGAAUAGAUAAGUGCUUGAGUGUCUCUGGUCUCUAAAGUGGCUGGUUUUAUUCUUUCUUCAAAGUUAAUAACAUGUUUCAAGAUUUUUGGACAAAAUAUUAUGGUACGUCAUAGAGAAAAGCAGCGUGAAUUAUAUUUAGGUAUAGCAAGUCAGAUCCUUUGAAGUGACUCUGUCUCUGUUCUUAGAAGGGUUCUUGGAAUUGGUUGUGGUUUGAAUCUUUCUACUGUCAGAGGAGACCCACUAAAAACCAGAAUCUGCAUAAAGCUUUCUUUACUUAACACACUGAAGCUAUAGGUGAGCCAUCCCAUGUCAGACUUUAUACUCAAAGAAGGAAAAGCCAAGUUGCAGUGAGCGGGUAAGACAGCUCAGAUCCGAAUGAAAAUGGGGUCUGAA
rnacentral:lncRNA from 1 species